rnacentral:rRNA from 1 species
UACGUAGGGGGCUAGCGUUGUCCGGAAUCAUUGGGCGUAAAGGGCGCGUAGGCGGCCUGUUAAGUCGAACGUGAAAUCCCCGGGCUCAACCCGGGACUGCGUCCGAUACUGGCAGGCUUGAAUUCGGGAGAGGGAUGCGGAAUUCCAGGUGUAGCGGUGAAAUGCGCAGAUAUCAGGAGGAACACCGAUGGCGAAGGCAGGUCUCUGGGCCACUACGUGACGCUGAGAAGCGAAAGCAUGGGGAGCGAACAGG